rnacentral:rRNA from 1 species
UACGUAGGGACCAAGCGUUGUUCGGAAUCACUGGGCGUAAAGGGCGCGUAGGCGGCUUUAUAAGUCGGGGGUGAAAGCCUGUGGCUCAACCACAGAAUUGCCUUCGAUACUGUAGAGCUUGAGACCGGAAGAGGUAAGUGGAACUGCGAGUGUAGAGGUGAAAUUCGUAGAUAUUCGCAAGAACACCAGUGGCGAAGGCGGCUUACUGGUCCGGUUCUGACGCUGAGGCGCGAAAGCGUGGGGAGCAAACAGG